rnacentral:rRNA from 1 species
UAAUGUCUGGGAAACUGCCUGAUGAGGGGGGAUAACUACUGGAAACGGUAGCUAAUACCGCAUAAUGUCGCAAGACCAAAGUGGGGGACCUUCGGGCCUCAUGCCAUCAGAUGUGCCCAGAUGGGAUUAGCUAGUAGGUGGGGUAACGGCUCACCUAGGCGACGAUCCCUAGCUGGUCUGAGAGGAUGACCAGCCACACUGGAACUGAGACACGGUCCAG